UCCUGUUUCCUCUCUGCAGUUACUCUGAUCUCUCACUGCCAGCCAGCUUCUCUGAGUCUCAAUUUCCUCAUAACAUGGCUCAGAAAUGGUCACUGCAGCCCAAACUCUAGAUGAACCUUCAGCUCAAGCAUCCAAAUUACAGAUAACCCUCUGAUGGCUCUGAGGAAUGUUAACCUCUGGAGUAGCAGCUCUCAACAAAACAUGGUCCUGCUGAUGUUUCAUGCCUCUGUCGAAAAGGCACGAACUGCAUUUUCCUCAGGAAAAAAAACAAACAAACGCUAUUCUUUUGAAGUUUGACAAAUUACAAGACAACAAGAUUUAGAGAGAAUUGAGAAGACAUAAGAUAGUCUUAUGUCUUCAUAAGAACGUGGAACUGAUAUGUAGAGGUGCCCUGCUGCAUCCCAGGAACUGUGUUAUGUAUGAUGUGUCAUUUAAAUCUCACAACCACCUUGAAGAGAAGCUGUUGAAGGUGACCUAGGUAGAGAUCACAGACAUCAAGAGAUGCAGACAACCAUUUAAAACAACCCACCAAAGAGAGCUGUAUGACCAGCCUGUGUUCCAAUUAGUGUCCCCUUUAGGUCACAUUCCUGAGCAGUCAUUUGAUAACACCUGCUUCUUCUUUCCAGCGUGUAACUGCUGGAGUAUUCUGGAGCAGUCAGCUGGGAUAUCCAAUAACGAAACCUCUGCCUGCAGACCCCCUCCAUUCCAAAGAUUGGAAUCUACCUGUAAUAAUAAUGUAUUUUACCUCCACAUGCAGUUCUUAGCAUGAAAUUGUGAAUGUUUACAUUGUAAAAUUUCAUUUCUGACCAAGUCUGAGAUUUGUAAUCCUUCCUUCCCUGAGGAAUAAAUUGUCUGGUUUCUGAUAAGCUCUUUUAUUA